UAACUGAAGAGUUUGAUCCUGGCUCAGAUUGAACGCUGGCGGCGUGCCUAACACAUGCAAGUCGAGCGGUAACAGGUGUAGCAAUACAUGCUGACGAGCGGC
rnacentral:rRNA from 1 species